GUGGCUUUCUUGCUUUGCCCGAAAACGUAAGUUAAUAAAUGAACAAAAUCUUUUUCAUAUUUGAUCUGAGUUUUGUUAUGUGGGAUAAAGUGUUUACGCUGCAGUAAACUUUGACGAGCAACACUACAAUCCGCAAACAGAUGAGGAAGAGGAGGAUGAUGACAGCGCAGCCUAUACAAGGAGAAAGUAAACAAGAGAAGUGUUUUCAUCGCUGAAGAAAUGGCAGACAUUACUCCUUAGACACCUGUGAACACCAGCAGUGCCUGCAGUCCAAGAAAGUGGACAUCAUCUUUAUUAUACUUCUCUGACUGGACUAACAAGGAGCAGUUAGAGCCAAUGAGAAAAACUCAAAAGAAGAUACUUUGAAGAAUGCUGGUAAUCAAUACCAACACGUUUGUCCAUAUAGACAACAUGAGGGGGAGUAAAUGAUUUUCAUUUUUGGGUGCAAAAAUUAAAGCUCCCAAACAAAGAUAUCACCGGAUUAAGACAUGAAAGACAUGUUACAUCACAACGACCAUAAAUCCUGAGUGAUUUGAAAAUGA